rnacentral:lncRNA from 1 species
UGUCAUAUCCCAGUUUUUAAUCACUGAUUAAAGACUUAAUAAUUAGGGUUCGGCAUCCAUUAAUAAUAAAACUGAAUUGAUUUAUCUGAUGUGAUUUAAUUGUUAUAUAUGUGUUUUGAUGUGCUAAAUUCUUAUUAUUAUUUUGAAUCCGUUUGAGAUUUAAAGGAUUAUUGAGUAGUCAAUAAUUAUUAUUUCGGAUUAUAACUGACUUAGCAAAGUCAUGUUAUUUAAUUUAUAUACGAUAGAAAUAGUAUUUCUAUUAUUUAAUUGAAGUCAUGAUUAAUUUUUCGACUUAUAAAACGAGUUAUAAAAUAUGUAAUUUGUAGAGAGUUAUAACGAAGCUUCGUUAUAUGGAAACCCGGAAUUAGUAUUACAAAUACGUUAUCAUAUACUUUUCAUUUCCACAUACAUCUAUCUCUUAAAUAAAUUGAUGGUAUUGGAAACACUCAUCAUAUGCAAAUUAUUCCACUAAUUCCACUAAUUCCACUAAACACUCUUUACACUCAUCAUUGCCGGCCAUCUUCUACACUCAUUCCACUAAAUAAUCAUUAUUCCACUACCUCCCCACUACUACACCCUUUUUCCCCACCAAUACACCUAACUCUCCACACACUUCAUUUUUUUAUUUCUACACCACUAUAUUCCAUAUUCAGUACUACAUCUUGCAGAUUCCUCAUUAAGAAAUCCUCUCUCUCUAAUCUUCUAAAUUACCAUUUUCUUUCCUCCUACUCCUCACGGGUCCUUCAAAGAAAUUAUCAAGUUUGUUUCAAGUUCCAAAUCAAGAAUCAAGGUGUGUAAAUUUUGUUUAUUUCCUCCAUUUAAUUUUUCGAGGAUUACAUUCUAACACCUAGCAUCAUUUAUGCAGAAGCCACAAAUCCUCAUCUGCCUCUUCAAGGUUAUUUCCAGCAUAAACAACUUCUUUUAGAUUAUUGUUGCUUCAAUUACAUCAUCUUAUCAAGCAUCAGAGGACCACCAACAAACAAACACACACUCAUAAUCAUUAUUUUCACCUAACUAUUACAAUUACAAGGAUUUCAAGAUCUGAUAAAAAGAAAUGAUGAAAGAACAGAAUUUCUAAACAAAAACCCUAACUUUACUAUAUGUGAAUCUGGACUGAAAUUGGGCCUUCUUGUGUCUUUAUUGUGUUGUGAUCGGGGGACGGAGGGAGGAGUGAGAGCAGCCGACGGCUGCUCAGGGCCGGCGACGGCGACGGCGACGGCUCGGCGGCAAGCCGCCGCCUUUUCUUUUUUCUGUCAGACAUUGGGAGGAGAGGAGAAAGAUUAAUUGAGUUUUAGAUUUAGAAAAGAGAGAAAAGGGGAAUAAGUAGGAAAGGGGAAAGGACUUAUCUUCUCCGGCAGAGACGGCGGCGACGCGGCGGAAGCAGCGGCACGAGCGGCGGCCCUUCGGGAUGCCGUUGCUCGACCGGCCGAGGGGGAGAAAGAAGAGCAGGCAGCGGUGCUGUUGAGGUCGUCGCGGCGGCACUGUGGUCGCCGGGGUGACUGCCCACCGCGAGCAGGAAGAGAGAGAGAGAUACCGAGAGGGGAUGGGCCGUGAGGAGGCGCGGCUGCCGUCGAUUCACCGGGACAGGAGCAGGACGACGGCGAUAUGCCGGACCUUCGCCGAUCUCGGGCGGCGGCGGCAGAAACGAGGAGAGGGAGAGAGAUGAGCUGUGUGUGUGUGCGUUUCUUGAAGUGAGAGGGAGAGACGUGAGAGAGGCGAGAGAGAUGAGUGUUGUGUGUGCUGAGUGUGUGUGUUUGUGUAUAUAUGUUAGUAUUAGAUUUUUUUUUUUAAUUUGGGCUUAAGCCCUAUAAUGAGGAUGGGCCGAAAAUUUUAAAAAAAAAAGAGUGGGCCGAUUUUAUUUUAUUUCUGUUGGGCCCAUUUUGCCUUUAAAUCUGAUGGGUUUUUAUUUAAUAGGUUUAGGCCCAAUUUUAAUUAAGUUUUGAGCUGUUAUUUAAAUAUAGGCCUACGAAUUUUGGCCUUAAUUCUAUAAAAAAAAAUGUUUGAUUUUUCACUAAAUUAUUUAGUGAAUUUAAAUCUCUUGAUUUAAAUUUUAAUAUUGGGAGUUGGAUUAUUUAUUCUAAAUGAAGUCCAUUCUAUUAUUUAAAUUAUUAAUGGACUUUAAAGCAAAUAUUUUGGGAUUAAGCCCCAUUUAUUACAUGAUAAAAUUAUUUUCAAAGCUUACGAGUAUGGAUUUUUUUUAAUGGUUAAAAUGUUUUAUUUCAUCUCAAUGGAUUUUAAAAUGUUUUAUUAUUUAUAAAUGAAUAAUGGAAUUUCUUAUUUAUUUACAUAAAAAAAAAUGAAAUGUAUAGAAUAUUAUAAAUAUGGUUUCUUUUAAAAGAAAAAGGAUUAAAUUAUUUUAUGAGUAAUUCCAUUAUAAUGGAAUUAAAAUGUCCUAUUAGAAUGGCUUCAUGUUUUAAAAAAAUAUUGAGACUAUUUAUGUGGAAUUGUGUUAUAGAAUGAUUAAGUAUAUGUAUUUACUUUAUCAAAUGAGCUUGGGAUUUAAUUGAGAUAUUAAAUUGCUAAGCAUAUGUUUAUAAAUGAUUUAUUUAUUUAAAGUGAUGAAAAUGUGNUUUGAAUCCGUUUGUAGAUUUAAAGGAUUAUUGAGUAGUCAAUAAUUAUUAUUUUCGGAUUAUAACUGACUUAGCAAAGUCAUGUUAUUUAAUUUAUAUACGAUAGAAAUAGUAUUUUCUAUUAUUUAAUUGAAGUCAUGAUUAAUUUUUCGACUUAUAAAACGAGUUAUAAAAUAUGUAAUUUGUAGAGAGUUAUAACGAAGCUUCGUUAUAUGGAAACCCGGAAUUAGUAUUACAAAUACGUUAUCAUAUACUUUUCAUUUCCACAUACAUCUAUCUCUUAAAUAAAUUGAUGGUAUUGGAAACACUCAUCAUAUGCAAAUUAUUCCACUAAUUCCACUAAUUCCACUAAACACUCUUUACACUCAUCAUUGCCGGCCAUCUUCUACACUCAUUCCACUAAUAAUCAUUAUUCCACUACCUCCCACUACUACACCCUUUUUCCCCACCAAUACACCUAACUCUCCACACACUUCAUUUUUUUUAUUUCUACACCACUAUAUUCCAUAUUCAGUACUACAUCUUGCAGAUUCCUCAUUAAGAAAUCCUCUCUCUCUAAUCUUCUAAAUUACCAUUUUCUUUCCUCCUACUCCUCACGGGUCCUUCAAAGAAAUUAUCAAGUUUGUUUCAAGUUCCAAAUCAAGAAUCAAGGUGUGUAAAUUUUGUUUAUUUCCUCCAUUUAAUUUUUCGAGGAUUACAUUCUAACACCUAGCAUCAUUUAUGCAGAAGCCACAAAUCCUCAUCUGCCUCUUCAAGGUUAUUUCCAGCAUAAACAACUUCUUUUAGAUUAUUAUUGCUUCAAUUACAUCAUCUUAUCAAGCAUCAGAGGACCACCAACAAACAAACACACACUCAUAAUCAUUAUUUUCACCUAACUAUUACAAUUACAAGGAUUUCAAGAUCUGAUAAAAAGAAAUGAUGAAAGAACAGAAUUUCUAAACAAAAACCCUAACUUUCUAUAUGUGAAUCUGGACUGAAAUUGAGCCUUCUUGUGUCUUUAUUGUGUGUGACCGGGGACGGAGGGAGGAGUGAGAGCAGCCGACGGCUGCUCAGGGCCGGCGACGGCGACGGCUCGGCGGCAAGCCGCCGCCUUUUCUUUUUUCUGUCAGACAUUGGGAGGAGAGGAGAAAGAUUAAUUAAGUUUUAGAUUUAGAAAAGAGAGAAAAGGGGAAUAAGUAGGAAAGGGGAAAGGACUUAUCUUCUCCGGCAGAGACGGCGGCGACGCGGCGGAAGCAGCGGCACGAGCGGCGGCCCUUCGGGAUGCUGUUGCUCGACCGGCCGAGGGGGAGAAAGAAGAGCAGGCAGCGGUGCUGUUGAGGUCGUCGCGGCGGCACUGUGGUCGCCGGGGUGACUGCCCACCGCGAGCAGGAAGAGAGAGAGAGAUACCGAGAGGGGAUGGGCCGUGAGGAGGCGCGGCUGCCGUCGAUUCACCGGGACAGGAGCAGGACGACGGCGAUAUGCCGGACCUUCGCCGAUCUCGGGCGGCGGCGGCAGAAACGAGGAGAGGGAGAGAGAUGAGCUGUGAGUGUGUGUGUGCGUUUCUUGAAGUGAGAGGGAGAGACGUGAGAGAGGCGAGAGAGAUGAGUGUUGUGUGUGCUGAGUGUGUGUGUUUGUGUAUAUAUGUUAGUAUUAGGUUUUUUUUAAAUUUGGGCUUAAGCCC